CCCUACGGGGGGCAGCAGUGAGGAAUAUUGGUCAAUGGACGAGAGUCUGAACCAGCCAAGUAGCGUGAAGGAUGCCUGCCCUCUGGGUUGUCCCCUUCUUUUCUCUGGGCCUACCAUGUUCCACGUGUGGGAUUUUGUAUGUACCAUAUGAAUAAGGAUCGGCUAACUCCGUGCCAGCAGUCGCGGUAAUACGGAGGAUCCGAGCGUUAUCCGGAUUUAUUGGGUUUAAAGGGAGCGUAGGUGGAUUGUUAAGUCAGUUGUGAAAGUUUGCGGCUCAACCGUAAGAUUGCAGUUGAAACUGGCAG
rnacentral:rRNA from 1 species